rnacentral:lncRNA from 1 species
GGUGAACUCGCAGUACUUGGGCUGAGCCCGAAAUCUCGCGAGAUGCUGCAGGCGUCAGUGCGGCUUCCCACUAGGCGCGUGGUACCCGAGGCCGGGCCGGAGCCGCAGGCCAGCCGCGAUUCCUUCGGGCGAUGCUGGGGGCUUUCCGGUCGGGGCCGCAGCCGCUUCCGGAGCCGCGGGCGAGGUGCAAGCGGUCUUCUCUGUCUUCUUUAUGGCCAGUAAAAUUCUCCAGAAGAGAUUUAUGGCAGCCUCACUCCCAGUAGUUUCUGCAUUUAGUGAGAUAAGGAAUGGAUUUUCUUCUGUGUAUUGCUGACACGAACAGGAGACGGAAAUACUGAGUAGAAGAGGGCGGUUCCCUGGCUAAGGCCCCACCCUCAAGCCUGGAUACCCGCGGCCCUAAAUGAGAAGAGGCGUUUCUGUUUGGGGCCCAAAAAGUUGCUUUUUGACCCACCACGCCCCCUAUCCUGCCCCCAUAUAAACCCCAAACCCCAACCUCCAGAGCAUACCAGCAGGUGAGGAGAUACGAGGCAAGCCGACUGACGGCAAAACGACGUAGCAGAGAAAGAGAGAAGAGGAGGGACGUCUGGACACCGAGAGAUGUUUGGCUCGGGGCAGUCAGAGCGGAGUCCAGCCCCUGGGCGGCCCAACUCCAGGGGAAGAUCACCUUCCCACUUCAUCCAUCCCCACCCUUCCAGCUCCCCAUCCAUCCUGCUGAAAGCCAUUUCCACCACUCAAUAAAACCUCGCAUUCAUCCUUCAAGUCCGUGUGUGACCCGAUUUUUCCUGGAUUCUGGAAAAGAGCUCGGAAUACAGAAAGCUGUCCCCUGGUCCUUUGCCCUUGUGAAAAAGCAGAAGGUCCAUUGAGCUGGUUAACACUCCAGCUGUCUGUGGUGGCCAAGCUGAAAGAGCUUUGUAACACUGGGGUUGCAGGCACCCACCUCUAGACGCUACCGCAGAGCCAGAGCCCAAAGCCCUCACCCCGGCCUCUGCACUUGCCCAUCUGCGUGCUCCCCCUCUCGCAAGGGGUUUCUGCAGAGGGGGCUACUGAACAGAUGGAAUCUUGCUCUCUUGCUCAGACUGGAGUGCAGUGGCAUGACCUUGGCUCACUGCAACCUCACCUCUCGGGUUCAAGCGAUUCUGCCUCAGCCUCUCGAGUAGCUGGGACUACAGGUGGGAGACCUCCACAGAACCCUUCCAGCAAGCUGUCUUCUAAAGCAAACAAGAAAAGGAAAGUCUGAGCAGUUUUGAUUAGAUUUCCCAGAAGUCAAAGCAAGGAAAAAUGAAAAAGCUUCAUUUCUCACGUUCUUAAAAGAGAGCACAGAUGUUGCAUCAUCUGGUUAGAUACCCUGAGAAUAAAAUCUGGAUCCAGUGAGAGGAAAGAUUCUGGGUGCUCAUGAAAAAAGAAACAAAACAAAACUUGGGAGCCUCUUGAGAGUGUACAGCAUCAGCCCUUGCCAACUCUUGUUUAUAUGCAUUUAACUUUCAGUUAACCAUGGGAAUAAUUCAUGAAAAUCCAAUCUACAAACAAAGGCCAUCCUAACGUUCAUGUUAUUCUUUUCCCUAAGAAUCUUUCACAAGAGCUAUAAUCAAGUAGAAUUAUGCUUUGAUUUGAAUUCUAAUUCAAUUGAAAAUAAAAAAUGAGGGCCGGACGCGGUGGCUCAUGCCUGUAAUCCCAGCGCUUUGGGAGGCUGAGGUGGACGGAUCACGAGGUCAGGAGAUCGAGACCAUCCUGGCUAACACGGUGAAACCCGAUCCCUACUAAAAAUACAAAAAAUUAGCCGGGCGUGGUGGCAGGCGCCUGUAGUCCCAGCUACUCGGGAGGCUGAGGCAGGAGAAUGGCGUGAACCCAGGAGGCAGAGGUUGCAGUGAGCCGAGAUCAUGCUACUGCACUCCAGCCUGGGCGACAGAGCGAGACUCUGUGUAUAAAUAAAUAAAUAAAUAAAUAAAUAACGAAAAGGUUGCCAUUGCCCUUUCUGGGGAAAGUGAUAAUGAGGAAAGACUAGUUUCUUAACCCAAGUCAGCUUUAGAGUCGGCAAGGAUGCAAUUUGAGGUGAUCCAGGAAAACUCUAUUAGCAUGGUAUUUCCCAUACAGAUUCAUUUCUUU